GGCUGUCCCGCAGAGUACUCCUUCACACUCGACAUCGACAUGAUCUCGGCUCCCGGAAUGUCGAGAAAACUGAAUGAAUUCGUGUCCCGGAACUCGACGAGAAGCUGCGAUCGCUGCGCAUAUAUCAUCCCAACUUACGAGAUUCACGCUGGGGUAGAGAAGAACCCUAGGACUAAAGGAGAGCUGAAAGCUCUUCUCAAGAAGAAGAAAGCUCAGCGCUUUCACAUCAAGGUAUUCCACCUCAACCAGCACAAUUCGCAGCUGAAGAAGUGGGAGACCGACAAGUCGUCUUGGCCUAGGAAACUGGAGGUCAUGUACAACAUUAGCACUUGGGCUGAAUUCUGGGAGCCCAUUUACGUCACCAAAGCUGACGUCCCUCCUUACGACGAGAGAUUUGUCGGUUAUGGCUAUACUCGGAAUAGCCAGAUCUACGAGAUGCACGAGGCUGGGUAUACGUGGCAUAUGCUGAACAAUGCCUUCUUAUGCCACAGUGGAUUCCAGACCAGAAGGCAGCGGUCAGGAAGUCGUAAGAGGCAGAUGCUUCAUAACGACCACAUUUACAAGGUCUUCAAGAAAGAGAUUCACGCCAGAUAUACAGUGGACGAAGAUAACCCACUCGCCGGGUAUAACGAGAGAGAGAGAGAGAGACGAGAUACCUCUGGGAAAAUACAACUAUGAAGAAUUGUGACGCAAGGCUUGUAGGCCAAAUGUGUUCAUGUGGCUAGGUCUAAAACACAGAAACAAUUUCUUUAUAUAUUUCAUUGUGAAAUGAGAAUCUUGCUCUUUUUUUUUCGUCCCUCAAGAUUUUGCUGUAAAGAAAAGCCAGUGAUAAGUCGAAUGAACUGACUAAAAAUAGUUAUGCGUCCAAAAGGUGUAAGACACUAUUCGGUUUCACUUGGCAUAUUGAGCUAAAAUUCUCUCAAUUUCUUGCACUUCAGUGGAGACUAGAUUUUUUAACAUGAAUAUAUUUAGGUGGUAUUUUGUUGUAAAUGAAAUUUAUUAGUUUCGCUGCAGUGAAGUACAUAAAUUUUGAAUAAACAUCUGUGGUCUGCACAUAAUACCUACCAUGAAGUUCUGAAGACUUAUUUAAUCAAACCCUACUGAUUAUUGAGUUUGUUUACCUAAUUUUUCCAUGAACUAGUGGUGGGUGACUCAAGCUGUCCCGGGAGGAG